UUGAUUGGUUCACGGUGAGCCGGCUGUGCCGACGUGGGCAUAUGAGUAACUGUAGCCACAUUAAAUUAAGGGCAUUUUGGUCCUUAUACAGUAAAUUCUCUGUUAACCAAUCCUAUUAACGACUGUUAAAUCUAGACUGACCUUGAACGGGUUAAAACCCUCUGUUCGUCUCACCAGUAUAAUCCUUUCUCCACCGACCCUCAUUCGGCGUCUCCUUCCUCCUUCCUUCUCAUUCAUCAAGGAGUGGUUGGAUUCUCUAGUUUUUUACGUUGCAACGUAUUCAUGAUCUUCCGUCUCCAAAAAUGCCUUAAAAGCACAAGGUUCCACCUAAAAUUAUCAGUAUCUUGUACCCUUUUCCAUGCUUCCCUCAGGAAUUGCUUUCAUGCAGUUUCUUCAUCUCCUUUUCAAUCACAGUUGUUUAGAGCUGGAUUAGAUCAUCAACAAGAACAAUAUGUAGACUCUACAAGACAACCUGACCUUGAUGUUAUCAUUUCUAAAGUUCGUUUGGGAAGCACUGAAGAUGAGGUCUUUCAAUCUCUCAAGCAAGAUUAUGUAUGUAAUAGUAUGCAGCUUUCUCAUCGCCUUGUUGAUAAGUUGCUUCGACGGUUCAAGGAUGAUUGGAAAUCGGCGUUGGGUGUUUUUAGAUGGGCAGGGUCAUUUCCAGGAUAUGAACAUACACCAGAGAUUUAUGAUUCGAUGGUGGACAUAUUGGGGAAAGCGAAACGAAUGGAUCAGAUGAGAGCUUUAUUGGUGGAAAUGAAUGAGAGUCGUUUUAUCACAAUUAAUACAGUGGCCAAGGUUAUGAGAAGGUUCACUGGUGCAGGGCAAUGGGAGGAUGCUGUGAAGACAUUUGAUCAGUUAGGAACUUUUGGAUUGGAGAAGAACACAGAAACCAUGAACAUGUUGCUUGACACCCUUUGUAAAGAGUCCAAGGUUGAGCAGGCCCGUGCAAUUUUCUUGGAGCUCAAAUCACACAUUUCACCCAAUGCUCAUACAUUCAACAUUUUCAUCCAUGGUUGGUGCAAAGUCAAUCGUGUCGAUGAGGCUCAUUGGACUAUUCAAGAGAUGAAGGGACAUGGUUGUCGCCCAUGUGUCAUUAGCUACUCAACCAUCAUUCAGUCUUAUUGUCACCAAUACAACUUCAGCAAGGUCUACGAGCUGCUCGAUGAAAUGCAGGCUCAAGGCUGUCCUCCAAAUGUUGUAACUUACACCACUGUCAUGUGUUCACUAACAAAGUCACAGGAGUAUGAAGAAGCUAUACAAAUAGUUGAUAGAAUGAAAAUGGUCGGUUGUAAACCUGAUACACUUUUUUACAAUUGCUUGAUCCAUACUCUGGGGCAAGCUGGUCGAGUCCAAGAUGCCGUGCAUGUUUUCCAGGUGGAGAUGCCAAAGAAUGGUGCAACCCCUAAUACCUCUACCUAUAAUACCAUGAUUGCUAUGCUUUGUCAUCAUGCUCAGGUAGAGAAUGCCUUUCAUCUUCUCCAGGAGAUGGAGAAUGUAGAAUAUUGUAAGCCUGACACUCAGACAUUUUUCCCAUUGCUCAAAUCUUGCUUUAAAACUGGGAAAACAGAUAUUUUCUUGAGCCAAUUAUUGGAUGACAUGGUUAAUAAGCAUCAUCUGAGUAUUGAUGUCUCAACCUACACACUUUUAAUUCAUGGGCUUUGUAGAGCCAACAAAUGUGAACAGGCUUACCACCUGUUUGAGGAGAUGAUCGGUCAAGAGAUAACACCUAAAUACCUAACGUGCCGUUUGUUAUUGGAUGAAGUCAAGCUGAAGAAUAUGUAUGAUGCUGCUGAGAAAAUUGAAGAUGUCAUGAAGAAAUUAUAAUCGCCCAAUUGCCCGGAUGUCUAGAAUUAUCAAGAGGUGUGAAAGCUGGCUGCUUGUGAUGGUCAUCAUUCACAGAACCACAAAUAAGCAGAAGUUUAAUUAAAGUGAGAUACUGUGUUACGUGAUCUUGUCCAUUGGAUCCAAUAAUGAGUCAAUUGAAUCAGACAUCCCGGGAUCCCAUUAUGUUUUUUAACAUAUGAAAGUGAAAAUGGACCCAAGCACUAGACCCACGGCACCUCCUCGUUUUAGUAAAACCAUGUGCUAGAUGGGGUCAGAUUUUUUAACUGAUGCAAAUUGUUAAGCAGUAAUCAAAUAGAUGUUUUCUUUUUGUAUUAU